rnacentral:lncRNA from 1 species
ACUAACCUCUUUGUGGGACAGUUGCAUUUAAAAAUGGUGAGAGAAAUCUGUUUUCUCCCCACAGAACCAAGGCCCUGGCAGGAAAGCCUUUUGUUAAUCACCACUCUACAGCAUAUUUCAUUUCAAGGUUCUUACACUGAGGAUAGAGAUCUUUGGGAUUCCAUCAAUGCAGUAAAGGGUCAACUGCUGGAAGCUGAGGACUCCGUUUUGUAUCUCUAAUAGUACAGUGCCAAGCACACAGGGAGCACUCACUCAAUUCACACCAACAUAUGAAGUGAGAAAAAAUUUCUACACAUGUGAGUUGGCAAAAUAUUUAGCAUUUACAGUGAUAUUUAGUAUUAAAUAAG